rnacentral:tRNA from 1 species
GAGGGUGUAGCUCAGUGGUAGAGCGCAUGCUUAGCAGGCAUGAGGUCCUGGGUUCAAUCCCCAGUACCUCCA